AGUUCCGUGCGGGGCCAGCUGGCGGCGGCGCUUCCGGGCCCCCGUGGCCGCCACGGCCUGGCCGGCCUGGGAUGACAAUACUUGAGGAAUCCUCGCUGGUGCUGCCCUCCUGCCCUCUGCUUGGAACCCCUCCCCUAAGUGUCAGUGAGUGGACGUAUAUAUUUGGAUCAAUCGAGUUGCACCCUUUGCCUCCCAGAUCAGUUCCUCCGGCCUCCCUGGCUGAGCAGAAGGACAGCUCUGGACACUUGUGUCAGCACCCAGCCCACGUGUCCCUGCCACAGCUUCAUAUAAGGUAUGCCGGCUCAGCCGGGCCUGGUGGCUCACGCCUGUAAUCCUACAACUUUGGGAGGCUGAGGCAGGCAGAUCACCUUGAGGUCAGGAGUUCGAGACCAGCCUGACCAACAUGGAGAAACCCCGUCUCUACUAAAAAUACAAAAUUAGCCGAGUGUGGUGGCACAUGCCUGUAAUCGCAGCUACUCAGGAGGCUGAGGCAGGAGAAUCGCUUUAACCCAGGAGGCAGAGGUUGCAGUAAGCCGAGAUCGCGCCAUUGCACUCCAGCCUGGGCAAUAAGAGCGAAAGUCUAUCUCAAAAAAAAAAAAAAAAAAACACCAUAUGCCAGCUCCGUCUGGCUUUGCAGUCUCAUACCCAGUUACGUAGCCCAUCAGCUGAAAGCCCAAUGUACACCACACCCUGAAUCAGAUGUUCUCCAACACCAUCAGUGUUCCUCAGGACCACCCUGCAGGAUACAUUUAUUUGUAACCAUUCUUUUCUUUUGCUUUUAGAGAUCUUGCUGUUGCCCAGGCUGGAGUGCAAUGGCUAUUCACAGGUGUGAUCAUAGCUCACUGCAGCCUCGAACUCCUGGUUUCAAGCGAUCUUCCUGCCUCAGCUUCCUACUUGGGACUACAGAUUUAUUUCAUCUUUUUUUUUUUUUUUGAGAUGUAUCUCGCUCUGUCUUGCUCAGGCUGGAGUGCAGUGGUGCCAUCUUGGCUCACUGCAGCCUCCGCCUCCCAGGUUCCAGUGAUUCUCCUGUCUCGGCCUCCAGAGUAGCUAGGACCACAAGGCAUGUGCCACCACACCUGACUAAUUUUGUAUUUUUAGUAGAUAUGGGGUUUCACCAUGUUGGCCAGGCUGGUCUUGAACUCCUGACCUCAUGUGAUCCACCCUCCUUGGCCUCCCAAAGUGCUGGGCUCACAGGCGUGAACCAUGGCGCCCGGCCUAUUUCACCUUUAGAGAUAAAGUCUUGCCCAGGCUGGUCUCAAACUCCUGGGCUCAAGCGAUCCUCCCACCUUAGCCUCCUGAGUAGGUGGAACUAUAAGCGUGAGCCAAUGCACCCAGAUGUCCCCAUUCUUUGGAUGAGGAAACUGAGGGUCAGGAGGCUCCCCAGACAACUUGGCUGGAGCUAGUAGAGCUGAGAUUUGAACCCUAGUAUGCUGAUCCUUAAGCCUCCUCUGAUUCCAUGCCCUUUCUCUCUGCAGCUAUGAAACUGAGGGUGAUGGUGAAGCUAAAAUGGGUCAGGGAUGAGUGGGGUGCCAUGAGUAGGGGGGUGUCAGGGCCAAGCAGGGAGUCAGGUUGGGCAGGGCCUGGGGUGAAGCUCCCUUUCAUGUUGUCAUCCUUUUACUGAGGCCAGAGCUGCAGCUGGACCCCAGUAUUUUUACCACAGGCAUUUUUACCCCCACUCUGGGUCACCUCGUCCUUCCAGGUUUGGCUAACAGGUGGUUCAGUGAGAGGGUUCAGGGCGCCCUCUUGUGGCCCCUGGUGUAUCAAAGUCUGGCGCCCCAGCUUGUGGGGCUGAGUUAAGACAGAACUGGGUACCGGCUGGGCUCUGGACUACAAAAUUCAGGCUGGGACCCUAUCCCCUAUCCAUGUUUCCUUGGCUCUGUCUCUGUUUCUGUCUUUGUCCAUACCAGUCUCAGCCUAGUAGUCUCUUUUCCUCCCUUGAUCUCUCUCAUCUGUACCUCCCCAGGGGUACAGAUGGCAGGCUGAUGAGCUGAAGAUGCAAAGAAGGGUGGCAUCCUAAAAAGAACUCUAGGUUCAAAGGAUGCUGACACUUGCAAGCUGAGGGAGGACAGAGGCUGGGAAGGAGGGUGUAGCCAGGGUGACCUGCAGGACUGUCCUUGCUCCCAGCUCCUGGGUGGCAUGUGGGGCCUGCUGACCAGGCAGGAGCAGGGGGAGGACAGGACCCCAUUUCCACAGGAAUGUUUCAGGUUCUGGUUCUUAGUCCCAGGAAGGGAACUGGAUUCCAGGAGAGAGGACAGGAGGAUGAGGUCCACAGAAGGGCACAGGAACCAUGCUUUGAUGCUGAGACAACCUGUCAAGGCUCCUGUAAAGGCCCAGCCCCUAAUUUCCUGCCUCUGUAGCCACCUUGUACCUCCACCACCUCCCUCCCCUCAUGCUCAGAGCAGAAUGUAGGCCAGGGCACCUUACAGCAUCCAGAGUACUUUUAUUGCCAGAAUCCAGAUACAGCCUGCUCAGAGCCCCAUGUGGGGCCACUCAGGAACAAGGGGAGACAGAUGCCAGGCAUGUAUGCAACAGAGAAAAUCCAGCUGCACAGAAACCCUGUGGGAGAGCAGCUCAGUCCAGCGUGAAGGCGUCUUUGGGAACCCCACCUAGAGGCUGUACCCUUUUCUCGGCCUGUGGCCAGUCACCCACUUAGAGCCUACUGCCAUGAAGGCAGCCCUGACUCUCCAUGCCUGCUGCCACAGGGAGAUCCAUGGAGCACCCUGGGGCAGACAGAAAGCCCCUAGGGGGGCCUCAGGGGACCCCUGGCUCUCUCAGGGUCCCAUUCAAGUUUCUGGGCUAGUCCCAGCACUAAGCUGGGUGCUGGCCAGGGUGGAUAGGAGCCCCAUCCUCAGCCCUGUGCUGACCCACUUGGUACUAGUGAGACCCUAGGGCAGGGUGGCAGUGUGAUGGUGGGGUUAGCAAGAGGUGCAGCUCAGGGAAGCUGCGAGCAGCCUUGGCUGCUUCCUUGGAUUCCCUUUCUCCAUAGGUUCCCAGAAGGCCAUGGCUCCAACCCCUGCUCUCAUCCUUGGAACCACAGUCCCAGGGUGAAGGGAGGCAGCUUCAGUCCUGGGGCCAAUAGCACAUCCGAGGAAAUCAGGGCCCCUGGAACACAGCCUGCGGGACUGGGGGCACAUCUGCUGCCCAAUCCAGAGCUUGAAUGCUCCUGGUGGUAAGGGAGGUAGGAGUGGAGUGAGAUGUCCCAGGGCCUGGGAACCACGAAGAACGCAACAAACUGCCCCUGCCUGCAGGAGCUACUAGGCUCGCCCAGGAAGCCAGUCAGGCUGGCCACCAGCUAAGCCACAGGGAAGCCAGCAGCUCUAGCUACCCAUGACCAGUGGCAGGCCUAUCUGUGGCUGGUGUGUGGGAAGGGUCACCCGAGGGGCCAGGAGCCGAUCCCUGGGACCUCUGGGUACAGGACCACAGCCCAGUAACAUCCCUCAUAGGAAGGCUGCGGGGCCAGGGCCCAGUAGGCAAGUAUGAAAAGCCCACAGGAAUAGGGGGGACACAUGGCCCCAGGCAGGGACUGGGACCAGGGCCCAGCCAGUCCACCCUGUGGAGCCAGUCCUAAGGUCACAGCAGUUCCACCAUCAGCAGCAUUCUUGCCAUCCAGUGUCCCUUGAGUCUAGACUCUCAUUUCUUCCUUCUUCACUGCCACAGAGAAAGGAUAACAAACAGCACUUCCCCAUGGCAGAUGCUUCACAGUCCAAGACUCGGGGCCUUGAAUGGUGAGUCACAAACUUUGCAAAACGCGUGGGCCAUGACAGCCCCAGAGGCCAACAGCAGGUCCACGGCCGAGCCACAGGAGUCCUGUGGCACAGGAGUCAGGGCCCAAGGAGCACACGUUUCAGAUAGGCCAGGGUGGUGGCGUUGGCCAGCAUCUCGAUGUGCUCGCUGCCUGGCAGCUCCUGCAGCAACACUUGGUGCUCCUGGCGGCUCUGCCAGGCCUGGCACUGCAGGGCACUCUUCAAGUUCACAGUACCAUCGCCGUCACCAAAGCAGAUUUUAGGGUCACGGUCAGGGAAGCUCUCAUAGUAGAAGGAGUCUGGUGUGGGGACGCCAGUACCAUAGAGGCAGUGCAGCUGCACGCCAGGUGGCAUCGUGGCUUCCACCAGCCCUUCUGUGUCCUGCCGCAUGAGCCAGCCAUCUUCAAAGCCGAUGUCCUGGAAGAACUUGCGGUAGUCCCGCAGUGUGUAGUUGAUUGUGGGUGUCUGCACGAACACCUUCUCAGGUGACCAUGUGUAGUUGUAGGGCAGCAGCCAGCUGGUGGAGACAGCUGACCGCUGCUGCUCCCGGAUCUUCAGGGGCCCGAUGACUGGGAUCCGGUUGUUGUCUCCUGCAGGGAGAAGGCUCUGGUCAGUCUGUGCUUAGGAAUGCCAGCUGGUUGGGCAGCAUGUUCACCACCAGGCCCCUGCCAGACCCCAGCCAGGGGCCCAGUCCACAGUCCCGCAUCUCUACCCGGUUAUCAUCAUUGUAAUCACUGUGACUCCCAUCCCUGCCUUGGCUCUUUUUUUUUCUUUUUGAGACAGGGUCUCACUCUGUUGCCCAGGCUGGAGUAUAAUGGCAUGAUCACGGCUCACAGCAGCCUCAACCUCUCAGGCUCAACCAAUCCUCCCGCCUCAGCCUUUGGAGUAGCUGGGACUACAGGUAUGCGCCACCAUGCCUCAUGCCUGGCAAAUUUUUCCUUUUUUUUUUUUUUGAAGUAGGGUCUCAUUCUGUCACCCAGGCUGGAGUGCAGUGGUACAGUCUUGGCUCACUACAACCUCCACCUCCUGGGUUCAAGUGAUCCUCCUAUGUCAGCCUCCUGCAUAGCUGGAACUACAAGCACGUCCCACCACGCCUGGGCUAAAAAUGUUUCCACUUUUUAUACAGAUGGGGUCUUGCUAUGUUGCCCAGUUUGCUUGCCUUGGCUUUUAUUGUUUCUCUUUAUUUUUGCUACAUCUGGGAACCACACAUCCAAGCUAUGUUUUGUUUUUUUUGCUUUCCUCACCAGGGAGUAAGGCGGCACAUACCCACAGGGUGAUUUAUGAUGCUUCCUUGCCUGUAAACUCUACCAUCCUCCAAGUGCUGAUCAGGCCUGUGGGCACUGACCUAGUCUAAAGUGAGUCAGCAGGUUGGCAACUCGGAGAUGACAUGUUCUGCUUUCCCUUUUAUGACACUGAACUGUGUACCAGUUUUUCUUUUCCUAAGCUCAGACCAGCGUUCAGCCAGCCGUGGCCUCAUUCCACCCACUUGCAUGUGCGCUGACCUGGGCAGCCAGGCGUGCUGGAGACAGGGCACGAGGGGAGGCUGCAGAUGGAGGCGGAGUCCCUAUACACAGGAAUGUGAACAACACAAACACCCGGCAGUCAGGGAGGCCUCCAGGAAGUAAAAGCUGCAACUUGGGAACAGGGGCCUCUGGCCUGUUCAGGAUCCAUGGUCACCCAUCACCCCACCCUGUAUCUGAAAGCAGGGAGGCCUCUCAGACUGACUGUAGGGCCUCAGCUCUGCCUGCUGUGGCCUGGCUGGGGGACCCCUGAGGCAAGGAAAGCCCCUAGGGGUGCACGGACUUCCACCUCCCCGCACCACACACCCAGUCCUGGACUGCCAAGGCAGGACAGAACAGCUUCCCAGCCUUUGAAACAAAGCUCUAAGGGGACUCACAGAGAAACUCUGAAAGGGGCCGGGGCUACCUGUCUAAACUCAGGGUAUGCCCACAUCCGUCCCUCCAGGCCCAGGCUAGACCGAAGUGGUGGCUAUAAUGAGUCCUCACUAAAUCUGAGUGUCUUCCAGCCAACUCAGAGUCACUGGGCCUGACCCAAUCACAAUGCCAGUAGACCAAGCAGGUCAAGCAGUGGCAGGCACUUGAGCUCAUGAGAUGCUUGGCACAGCCCUGGCUCAUAGCUCCCAAAGUGAGGGUCCAUAAGCCUCCCCCAAGUCCUAGCAGAGGGAGGAAAGCUCCCUUCUAGAGGAAGAAGCUCUACUCUACAGCUGCAGCUGGUGAGCUGCAACAGUCAUGAAAAGACGGGGGAGGAGCCAUAAAAGGGGUGGCUUUCCCAAUUGCCAGGCAAGCAGGCCCAGCCAGAUCUGCACCUGCUUCCUCCCUGUGUUGCCUACAGAGGCUCCGUGCUGCCCACAGAUGGAGGCGCAACUCAUAAAUAAAAAACUGUAGUCUAGAGGCCAGGUGCAGUGGCUCAUCCUUGUAAUCCCAGAACUUUGGGAGGUCAAGGUGGGCAGAUCAUUUGAGGUCAGGAGUUCAAGACCAGCCUGACCAAAAUGGUGAAACCCCAUCUCUACUAAAAAUACAAAAAAAUCUGGCCGGGUGCGGUGGUUCAUGCUUGUAAUCCCAGCACUUUGGGAGGCUGAGGCAGGCAGAUCCUCCUGACUUGAGGUCAGGAGUUAGAGACUAGCCCGGCCAACAUAGUGAAACCCAGUCUCUACUAAAAAUACAAAAAUUAGCCGGGUGUGGUGGUACGCGCCUGUAGUCCCAGUUACCCGGGAGGCUGAGGCAGGAGAAUCACUUGAACCUGGAAGGUGGAGGUUGCAUGAACCAAAAUCACGCUACUGCACUCCAACCUGGAUGGCAGAGUGAGAAAGACCCUGCCUCCAAAAAAAAAAAAAAAAUGCUCUAGCCUUCCUCCUCUGCGGUGAAGGUGGGGAUGAAGAAGUAAGGAUGGGGUAAGAGGGAGGGAUGGCCAGGCACAGUGGCUCACACUUGUAAUCCCAGCACUUUGGGAGGCCGAAGCGAGUGGAACAUCUGAGGUCAGGAGUUCAAGACCAGCCUGGCCAACAUGAUGAAACCUCAUCUCUACUAAAACACAAAACUUAGCCAGGCAUGGUGGCGGGCACCUGUAAUCCCAGCUACUCAGGAGGCUGAGGCAGAAUCGCUUGAACCCGGGAGGCAGAGGUUGCAGUGAGACAAGAUUGCACCACUGCAUUCCAGUCUGGGUGACAGAACCAGACUCUGUCUCAAAAAAUAAAAAUUAAAAAAAAAACAGGGCUGACCCAAGAGAAUAGUCAUUGUGGAGACCAAAGCAACUCCAUUUUGGAUACUAAUCCACCAUGUUGGCUUCUGAUUAACCCCAGAUCCAGGAAGGCCACUGAGAUUUCCACUUUAUCUACUGUUUCUUGUGCACGUACUUAACCAUAAAUCAAAACAGCCUCUGUGUUAUCAUCCUUCAAUGUUCAACACAUCGCAUCGGAGUCGCCCUUUCCCUACAGAAUAUAAGCUCUGGGUCUGGGGGCUAAUAGUGUGGGGAUCCACCAUCUUGUCUUGCCCCCACCUGAGACACAGAUGUGGCUUCUAUUCGUAUGUCCCUA
rnacentral:lncRNA from 1 species